rnacentral:rRNA from 2 species
ACUCAGUGAAAUUGAACUCGCUGUGAAGAUGCAGUGUACCCGCGGCAAGACGGAAAGACCCCGUGAACCUUUACUAUAGCUUGACACUGAACAUUGAGCCUUGAUGUGUAGGAUAGGUGGGAGGCUUUGAAGCGUGGACGCCAGUCUGCGUGGAGCCGACCUUGAAAUACCACCCUUUAAUGUUUGAUGUUCUAACGUGGACCCGUUACCCGGGUUGCGGACAGUGUCUGGUGGGUAGUUUGACUGGGGCGGUCUCCUCCUAAAGAGUAACGGAGGAGCACGAAGGUUGGCUAAUCCUGGUCGGACAUCAGGAGGUUAGUGCAAUGGCAUAAGCCAGCUUGACUGCGAGCGUGACGGCGCGAGCAGGUGCGAAAGCAGGUCAUAGUGAUCCGGUGGUUCUGAAUGGAAGGGCCAUCGCUCAACGGAUAAAAGGUACUCCGGGGAUAACAGGCUGAUACCGCCCAAGAGUUCAUAUCGACGGCGGUGUUUGGCACCUCGAUGUCGGCUCAUCACAUCCUGGGGCUGAAGUAGGUCCCAAGGGUAUGGCUGUUCGCCAUUUAAAGUGGUACGCGAGCUGGGUUUAGAACGUCGUGAGACAGUUCGGUCCCUAUCUGCCGUGGGCGCUGGAGAACUGAGGGGGGCUGCUCCUAGUACGAGAGGACCGGAGUGGACGCAUCACUGGUGUUCGGGUUGUCAUGCCAAUGGCACUGCCCGGUAGCUAAAUGCGGAAGAGAUAAGUGCUGAAAGCAUCUAAGCACGAAACUUGCCCCGA